UAACACGUAGGAGCCUAGCGUUAUCCGAAUUUACUGGGCGUAAAGCGCGUGUAGGCGGUUCGAUAAGUUGGAUGUGAAAGCUCCUGGCUCAACUGGGAGAGGUCGUUCAAUACUGUCGGACUCGAGGAUGGUAGAGGGAGGUGGAAUUCCCGGUGUAGUGGUGAAAUGCGUAGAUAUCGGGAGGAACACCAGUGGCGAAAGCGGCCUCCUGGACCAUUCCUGACGCUCAGACGCGAAAGCUAAGGGAGCAAACGGGAUUAGAAACCCCGGUAGUCUUAGCUGUAAACGAUGUGGACUUGGCGUUGGUGGGGUAAAAGCCAUCAGUGCCGAAGCUAACGCGAUAAGUCCACCGCCUGGGGACUACGGCCGCAAGGUUAAAACUCAAAGGAAUUGACGG
rnacentral:rRNA from 1 species